CAGUCGCCGCGGUAAUACAGAGGGUGCGAGCGUUAAUCGGAUUUACUGGGCGUAAAGCGUGCGUAGGCGGCUUCUUAAGUCGGAUGUGAAAUCCCUGAGCUUAACUUAGGAAUUGCAUUCGAUACUGGGAAGCUAGAGUAUGGGAGAGGAUGGUAGAAUUCCAGGUGUAGCGGUGAAAUGCGUAGAGAUCUGGAGGAAUACCGAUGGCAAAGGCAGCCAUCUGGCCUAAUACUGACGCUGAGGUACGAAAGCAUGGGGAGCAAACAGGAUUAGAUACCCCGGUAGUCCCUGUCUCUUAUAC
rnacentral:rRNA from 1 species